rnacentral:rRNA from 1 species
GGGUGGGUUCUGCGAGCCAACCUCCCACCCGUGUUUACUGUACCUUAGUUGCUUCGGCGGGCCCGCCAUUCAUGGCCGCCGGGGGCUCUCAGCCCCGGGCCCGCGCCCGCCGGAGACACCACGAACUCUGUCUGAUCUAGUGAAGUCUGAGUUGAUUGUAUCGCAAUCAGUUAAAACUUUCAACAAUGGAUCUCUUGGUUCCGGCAUCGAUGAAGAACGCAGCGAAAUGCGAUAACUAGUGUGAAUUGCAGAAUUCCGUGAAUCAUCGAGUCUUUGAACGCACAUUGCGCCCCCUGGUAUUCCGGGGGGCAUGCCUGUCCGAGCGUCAUUGCUGCCCAUCAAGCACGGCUUGUGUGUUGGGUCGUCGUCCCCUCUCCGGGGGGGACGGGCCCCAAAGGCAGCGGCGGCACCGCGUCCGAUCCUCGAGCGUAUGGGGCUUUGUCACCCGCUCUGUAGGCCCGGCCGGCGCUUGCCGAACGCAAAUCAAUCUUUUUCCAGGUUGACCUCGGAUCAGGUAGGGAUACCCGCUGAACUUAAGCAUAUCAAUAAGGCGGAGGAA